rnacentral:rRNA from 1 species
UACGUAGGUGCAAGCGUUGUCCGGAAUUAUUGGGCGUAAAGAGCUCGUAGGCGGUUUGUCGCGUCUGCCGUGAAAGUCCGGGGCUCAACUCCGGAUCUGCGGUGGGUACGGGCAGACUAGAGUGAUGUAGGGGAGACUGGAAUUCCUGGUGUAGCGGUGAAAUGCGCAGAUAUCAGGAGGAACACCGGUGGCGAAGGCGGGUCUCUGGGCAACAACUGACGCUGAGGAGCGAAAGCGUGGGGAGCGAACAGG